rnacentral:rRNA from 1 species
GACGAACGCUGGCGGCGCGCUUAACACAUGCAAGUCGAGCGAGAACCGGGCCUUCGGGCCCGGGGACAGCGGCGAACGGGUGAGUAACACGUGGGUGAUCUGCCCUGCACUUUGGGAUAAGCCUGGGAAACUGGGUCUAAUACCGGAUAGGACCAUGGCCUGCAUGGGUUGUGGUGGAAAGCUUUUGCGGUGUGGGAUGGGCCCGCGGCCUAUCAGCUUGUUGGUGAGGUUAUGGCUUACCAAGGCGACGACGGGUAGCCGGCCUGAGAGGGGGACCGGCCACACUGGGACUGAGAGACGGCCCAGACUCCGACGGGAGGCAGCAGCGGGGAAUAUUGCACAAUGGGCGCAAGCCUGAUGCAGCGACGCCGCGUGAGGGAUGACGGCCUUCGGGUUGUAAACCUCUUUCGCCAGGGACGAAGAGUGAUUGACGGUACCUGGAGAAGAAGGACCGGCCAACUACGUGCCAGCCGCCGCAGUAAAAC